rnacentral:siRNA from 1 species
CAGGCUCAUCAUUCGUCAGUCA